CGUGGAAAAGGACUUUAAUUUGGGGAGGGGUCCGACUGCCACCCUCAGCCCCCCAUCCUCCCCACACCAAAAUGUCCGAAGGUGGAGAGCGGUGGGAAGAACCCAACGUGAAGAGCAACGGGAAAAGCCAACGUGAAGGGUGAGGUGUGCCACCCAAUGUGGGGCAAUGGGGCACCCAAUGGGGGGCAAUGGGGUAACCAAUGUGGGGCAAUGGGGGAACCCUACAUGGGGCACUGGGGCACCCAACGUGGGGCAAUGGGGUAACCAACGUGGGGCAAUGGGGCACCCAAUGGGGGGCAAUGGGGUAACCAAUGUGGGGCAAUGGGGUAACCAACCUGAGCAACGGGACAACCCUAUAUGGGGCAACGGGGCAACCAACAUGGCACAAUGGGACACCCAACAUGGGGCAAUGGGACAACCAACGUGGGGCAAUGGGGUAACCCUACAUGAGGCAAUGGGACAGCCAACGUGGGGCAAUGGCAAAACCCCAUAUGGGGCAAUGGGGCACCCAACCUGAGCAAUGAGGUACCCAACAUGGCACAAUGAGAGAACCUUACAUGGGGCAAUGGGGUAACCAACGUGGGGCAGUGGGGUAACCAAUGUGGGGCAGGGGGAGAACCCAACAGAAAGAGCAAUGGGGCACCCAACAUGGGGUAGUGGGAGAACCAACGUGAGGCAAUGGAGCAACCAACCUGAGCAAUGGGGCAACCCUACAUGGGGCAAUGGGGCACCCAACAUGGCGCAAUGGGGUACCCAACCUGAGUAAUGGGGCAACCAACAUGGCGCAAUGGGGCAACCCUACCUGGGGCGAUGGGACAACCAACCUGAGCAAUGGGACACGCAACGUGGGGCAAUGGGAUGACCCCAUACGGGGUAAUGGGACAACCAACAUGGGGCAAUGGGACAACGAACAUGGGGCAAUGGAUGACCCCACAUGGGGCAAUGGGACAACCAACAUGGGGAGAUGGGACGACCAACAUGGGGCGAUGGGAUGACCCCACAUGGGGCGAUGGGACGACCAACAUGGGGCGAUGGGAUGACCCCACAUGGGGCAAUGGGACAACCAACAUGGGGCGAUGGGAUGACCCCACAUGGGGCAAUGGGACAACCAACAUGGGGCGAUGGGAUGACCCCACAUGGGGCGAUGGGACGACCAACAUGGGGCAAUGGGAUGACCCCACAUGGGGCGAUGGGACGACCAACAUGGGGCAAUGGGAUGACCCCACAUGUGGCAAUGGGACAACCAACAUGGGGCGAUGGGACGACCAACAUGGCGCAAUGGAAGAACCCAACAUGGGGCAAUGGGAUGACCCCAUAUGGGGUAAUGGGACAACCAAUAUGGCGCAAUGGGACGACCAGCAUGGGGCGAUGGGAUGACCCCACAUGGGGCGACGGGACAACCAACAUGGGGCAAUGGAAGAACCCUACAUGGGGCAAUGGAAGAACCCUACAUGGGGUGAUGGGACACCCAACCUGAGCAGUGGGGCAAUCCUACACGGGGCAAUGGGACGACCCUACAUGGGGAAUGGGACAACCAACAUGGGGCAAUGGGGCAACCAAUGUGGGGCAAUGGGAAAACCCCAUAUGGGGCAAUGGGGCACUCAGUGUGGGGCAAUGGGAGGACCCAACAUGGGGCAAUGGGGCAACCAACGUGGCGCAAUGGGACAACCCUACAUGGGGCGAUGGGACAACCAACCUGAGCAAUGGGACACGCAACGUGGGCAAUGGGAUGACCUCAUACGGGGUAAUGGGACAACCAACAUGGGGCAAUGGGACAACGAACAUGGGGCAAUGGGAUGACCCCACAUGGGGCAAUGGGACAACCAACAUGGGGCAAUGGGAUGACCCCACAUGGGGCAAUGGGACAACCAACAUGGGGUGAUGGGACAACUAACGUGGCACAAUGGAAGAACCCAACAUGGGGCAAUGGGAUGACCCCUUAUGGGGUAAUGGGACAACCAAUAUGGCGCAGUGGGACGACCAACAUGGGGCGAUGGGAUGACCCCACAUGGGGCGAUGGGACAACCAACAUGGGGCGAUGGGACAACCAACAUGGGGCAAUGGAAGAACCCUACAUGGGGUGAUGGGACACCCAACCUGAGCAGUGGGGCAAUCCUACAUGGGGCAAUGGGACGACCCUACAUGGGGCAAUGGGGCAACCAACAUGGGGCAAUGGGGCAACCAAUGUGGGGCAAUGGGAAAACCCCAUAUGGGGCAAUGGGGCACUCAAUGUGGGGCAAUGGGAAAACCCCAUAUGGGGCAAUGGGGCACUCAAUGUGGGGCAAUGGGAGGACCCAACAUGGGGCAAUGGGGCAACCAAUGUGGGGCAAUGGGGCACCCAACGUGAGCAAUGGGGCAACCAACGUGGCGCAAUGGGACAACCCUACAUGGGGCGAUGGGAGAACCAACAUGGGGCAAUGGGAUGACCCAACACAAAGAGGAAUGGGGAAACCCAAUGAGAGGAGGAAUGGGAUAACCUAAAACAAAGAGCAAUGGGGAACCCCAAUGAGAAGAGCCAUGGGAUAACCUAAAACAAAGAGGAAUGGGAAACCCCAAUGAGAAAAGGAAUGGGAUAAACCAAUAGAGAGGAAUGGGAAACCCC
rnacentral:lncRNA from 1 species